rnacentral:rRNA from 2 species
AUUACCCACUCCCGGCACGGGGAGGUAGUGACGAAAAAUAACAAUACGGGACUCUUUUGAGACCCCGUAAUUGGAAUGAGUACACUCUAAAUCCUUUAACGAGGAUCUAUUGGAGGGCAAGUCUGGUGCCAGCAGCCGCGGUAAUUCCAGCUCCAAUAGCGUAUAUUAAAGUUGUUGCGGUUAAAAAGCUCGUAGUUGGAUCUCAGUUCCAGACGGGCGGUCCGCCUAACGGUGGUUACUGCCUGGCCUGAACAGCCAGCCGGUUUCCCUAGAUGAUCUUCACCGGUUGUCUUGGGUGACCGGCACGUUUACUUUGAAAAAAUUAGAGUGCUCAAAGCAGGCGUGUAGCCUGAAUAAUGGUGCAUGGAAUAAUGGAAUAGGACUUCGUUUCUAUUUUGUUGGUUUUCGGAACACGAGGUAAUGAUUAAGAGGGACAGACGGGGGCAUUCGUAUUGCGACGCUAGAGGUGAAAUUCUUGGACCGUCGCAAGACGAACUACUGCGAAA